CACCCCAGUCCAGCUCUUUCUAGAAGUCUUUCAAAGGCAGCAAAUUGGUUAAGGAUGCAUUCCACUCAAAUUCAAUGAUGGCUAUUUUAAUUCCAAUUAAAAUGACUGCAUGUAAUUUCUACAUCACUAGUGACAUUAAAAGGAAAUGCAGAAAUGAUGGUUUCCAUUCAUGGAAAGUUUCCUCCCAUCUGCCACUGUUCAAAAAACAGUAACAGUCCCACCUUAAACUCAUGACAUUGACUGAGCCAAUGUUGUUACUCAAAAAGACUUUUGAAAGCACACAAAGACACAGGGUAUUUACAGUUUAAGGAAAUCAACCUACGGACAGCUUACUUCUAGUUGUCUCUGAAAGCUAGUAUAAGAAAAGGUAUUUUAACACCAAACUAUAAAAAAAGAAGCAUACAAUCACACACUAUGACUGAGCAGCAGGUAAUGGAAAUUGUACAUAAAAUCCCAUAUUUUAACUGUACAUAAAUGUGUCACUGCAGCCGAAACCAUACGGUUUUAGUGCGAUUUUUACCAACCAACCAUAGUAAUGCGCCAGGGAGGCUGAACUUGUGUUGUAAGUUUUCAGUGAAGAGUAGAAAAUCGUUAGCAUAAAUAAUUUGCUAUGUUAAGGGUUGUUGGUGAUGUAGAUGGAGGGAUGCUGGUAACGCAUAGCCCCACACCACCCAAACGCUCCAGAUGGGGACAAAGUAUAUGCAGAUUGGCUCAUUAACCUCACUGUGCUGAUCUCUCCACGGUAAUGACACACGCAGCAUGCUGGGGCUUCAAUAAUCCAUCUCAACAUCCUCUCCACUCAAAAGAUUACAGUGUGGAUGCCACAUAACCCAGCCCUGGAAAUAGCGAAGCCUCUAGAUGGAGUCUACAUAUGUGAGCGCACAUGCUCAAGCGCACCCAGAAAAAGCAUUAGAACAAAAACCAAGAAGGCGUUUUAGCAGCUGGUGUCAUAUUCCCCCUGAGGUGUUCCUGUUCAUUUUAGUUCCUUAGACAGAAUGGAUGAACAUCUCUUUGAAGUGCAGCCCAUUCUGGAAUAUUUUCCCCAAAACACCACAACCACAUAUUGAGGUGUCUCUGCGGGUGGCAGUAGGUGGAGAUAAACCCGGGAGACAGACAAAGAAGCUUUCCGUGACCUCAAUUUAUCUCACUGCAGACCGGAACGGCAACAAACAGAUUUCAUAUAUUGGAAGAAGACACAUCUGGAUCCUGUCAACAACACCAGAUGGAUUUGAAGGAUCAACUUGAUUCAGUUUUUCAGCACAUAAUCUCCUUUUUCUUUUAAACAGUGACUCGUCUGCACAAAACACAUCACUGCUGUAGUUAAGAAGUAACAU
rnacentral:lncRNA from 1 species